CCCUUAGAUGUUCUGGGCCGCACGCGUGCUACACUGAACGGUUCAAUGGGUGAGGUAGUGCGAAAGCAUGACCCAAUCUCAAAAUCCGUUCGUGCUGGGGAUAGAAGCUUGCAAUUCUCCUUCUUGAACGAGGAAUACCUUGUAAGCGCGAGUCAUCAUCUCGCGCUGAAUACGUCCCUGCCCUUUGUACACACCGCCCGUCGCUGCAACUGAUUGGGUGACCUGGUGAACAUCUUGGACCGGCCCACUCAAUUUCGAGAGGACUGGAAAAGGCCGUAAAUCAGGUACAUCUAGAAAUUGCAAAAGUCGUAACA
rnacentral:rRNA from 1 species